rnacentral:tRNA from 1 species
GCGGGAAUAGCUCAGUUGAUAGAGCGUCUCCUUGCCAAGGAGAAGGUCGCGAGUUUGAGUCUCGUUUCCCGCU